rnacentral:rRNA from 1 species
UACAGAGGGUGCGAGCGUUAAUCGGAAUUACUGGGCGUAAAGCGUGCGCAGGCGGUUUUGUAAGCCAGAUGUGAAAUCCCCGGGCUUAACCUGGGAAUGGCAUUUGGGACUGCAAGGCUCGAGUGCGGCAGAGGAGACUGGAAUUCCUGGUGUAGCAGUGAAAUGCGUAGAUAUCAGGAGGAACACCGAUGGCGAAGGCAGGUCUCUGGGCUGACACUGACGCUCAUGCACGAAAGCGUGGGGAGCAAACAGG